rnacentral:rRNA from 1 species
GAGUUUGAUCGUGGCUCAGAUUGAACGCUGGCGGCAUGCCUUACACAUGCAAGUCGAACGGCAGCAUGAUCUAGCUUGCUAGAUUGAUGGCGAGUGGCGAACGGGUGAGUAAUACAUCGGAACGUGCCCUGUAGUGGGGGAUAACUAGUCGAAAGAUUAGCUAAUACCGCAUACGACCUGAGGGUGAAAGUGGGGGACCGCAAGGCCUCAUGCUAUAGGAGCGGCCGAUGUCUGAUUAGCUAGUUGGUGGGGUAAAGGCCCACCAAGGCGACGAUCAGUAGCAGGUCUGAGAGGACGAUCAGCCACACUGGGACUGAGACACGGCCCAGACUCCUACGGGAGGCAGCAGUGGGGAAUUUUGGACAAUGGGCGAAAGCCUGAUCCAGCAAUGCCGCGUGUGUGAAGAAGGCCUCGGUUGUAAGUA